rnacentral:rRNA from 1 species
CCUACGGGGGGCAGCAGUGGGGAAUAUUGCACAAUGGGCGCAAGCCUGAUGCAGCCAUGCCGCGUGUGUGAAGAAGGCCUUCGGGUUGUAAAGCACUUUCAGCGGGGAGGAAGGCGUUAAGGUUAAUAACCUUGGCGAUUGACGUUACCCGCAGAAGAAGCACCGGCUAACUCCGUGCCAGCAGCCGCGGUAAUACGGAGGGUGCAAGCGUUAAUCGGAAUUACUGGGCGUAAAGCGCACGCAGGCGGUCUGUCAAGUCGGAUGUGGAAUCCCCGGGCUCAACCUGGGAACUGCAUUCGAAACUGGCAGGCUAGAGUCUUGUAGAGGGGGGUAGAAUUCCAGGUGUAGCGGUGAAAUGCGUGGAGAUCUGGAGGAAUACCGGUGGCGAAGGCGGCCCCCUGGACAAAGACUGACGCUCAGGUGCGAAAGCGUGGGGAGCAAACAGGAUUAGAUACCCCAGUAGUC